GUACGAAAAAAGAGGUGCAGAGAAAAACACAAUGUGAGAUAUAAUUAGAAGUGCCUGUGCAAAAUGUCAGCUCAGCUUCCCCUCCUCCAGCUAGUGCUUCCAAAAAUGUGAUUCCUGGAGCCUUUGAGUUUAUUUCUGGUUGAUCUGAAUGCAUUUUAUGAGCCAUUUCCCAAAAUAUCCAUUGGAUCUCCUUUGGCCAUCGUAAUCAGCUCAUAAAUUGAGCUCAUCAGCUGUAGGGCUGGAAGAUGGUGCUUCUCAGCCACGAGGGCCAUCAUGUGGGAUUCCUCUCUUCUAGCCACUGAAACCACAGCUGAGACGCUGGCUGGGACAACUCAGCUGCAACCAAAACCAUCCCGGUAGAAGGCUGAAGGUCUGGCUCUGUCACCCAGGCUGGAGUGCGGUGGCGUGAUCACAGCUUACUGCAGCCUCGACCUCCUGGGCUCAAGCAAUCCUCCCACCUCAGCCUCUCGAGUAGCUGAGGGACUACAGCAUCUAUUUUGGCAUGAGACUCCCCCUCAGCAGAUUCCUGAAUAGCAGCUGCUCUUGAUGAUUGCAAGGGGCCCCGCGGCCUGGUGGGACCAAGGCUUCUGCCGUCUGCUCUCCUCCAAACCUGCCUGUGCUCAGUGUGGACUCUGCAAACCUGGAGGCCCAGUGCAGGGGUGGGCUGGGCCUGGAGUUGUCUCUUCUGGUUCCAGCGUCAUCCUGAAACUUCUCUAGCUGCUGCCCCAGGUGUCGUGGUGCCCAUGUCACCUGUGUCCCACAUGGAAAUCUCAGGUCUAAUUAUCUACAGUGACUUAGAUGGCCAAUUAGUUGAUGAAAUGAAUUUGCAUCCAGAGCUCAGCGCUCCAUCUCUGUAGUCUCGGCUGCCAGGAAUGGUUCGGGCAAGAGCAUCAUGGAAACCACGUCCUCCAUCCUGAUUCACGCACAGUGAUGAUCUUAUGUGUCACUCCUGGCCAGGGCGGUGACAGCGAGGAUGCUGCUCAGACAUGGUGCCCUUCCCUAGACGCCAGCAGCCUUCAGGGAGGUGCCUGUCUUCCUGAGAUGGUUGGCUCCAAAGGGCUGCAGGGAAGAACCAGGAUGGCCGUGGCACAGGGAUAGCUGCUUCUUGGAGUGCUGUGUUGAAAAGCAUCAGAGGGGAAGGCACGGAACUGGCAGGGAUGAGGAGCAGCAGGCGGACCACACGUCCUGAAGCAAGAGACAGAGAUGGGACUGUGGGGAAGUCAGUUCUCACCACCUGACACCCGCAGGCCCCCCUACAGGGAUGCAGUGGGUUGUGUUACACGCACAACUGUUGACUUUCAUUUUGGCCACUGUUGAGGAAUUUACAAAUUGAACCAAUUUGGAGACUUAAAUUUGUUGGCUGGAUUUAACCCCAAAACUAGGUUUUCUCUAAUCAGUGGAAAGAGGUCUUCUAGCUCUUUACUUGAAAGUUUAAAAUAGAGAGUUUAUGUAAGACAAUAAGACCUUCCAGAGACUCACUUGGAAUCUUUUCACCAAUUACUCUCCUGCUGAGGAGCUUCUAUGCUAGUCUCAGGUAAGUCCAUUCCCAGCAGCCAGGGAGGCCAGCUCUUGCUUUCUUUUGUAAAAGUGCACACAGAUAGCUCUUGACCCAGGCACUCCAGAGAUGUAAUAACAACAUGCAGAGAUCUGUAUGUUAGAAUCAAGGCCCAGUUUCGCUCUGGGGGAAAAACUCAAAACAAUUCUCACAGGCGUUCAUUUUAGGGCGCUUCAGAAGGCUCCAUGACCCAAAAUCAGGACACCUCCUGGCAACAGUGCAGAGUUGAGAUAGGGGUGUGGGAUGUCACAGCCAAGGCCUCGCCACUCAGCCCCAAAGGGCUGUACAGGAAAAAGAGGAGCUGUUGAGCACAAACUUGUCAGAAAAUUCAUGAAUCUCAGGCCUUUGCUUCCCUCCAGGAGGCAUUCAUGUACUGGCUUUACCGGCUCACAGGAGCUAAUGUGACUUUUUUGGGAAUUUUGCAAAGCAAUUGUUAAACACAACCAAUAUUAAAAAUUAAAGUAUACAAACUUGGA
rnacentral:lncRNA from 10 species